AUCCAGAUGACGAGUCCCGAAUAGGACGAAACGUGCGUCCUGAAU
rnacentral:hammerhead_ribozyme from 1 species